CUUACCUAUCAUACAGUCUAGAAAUGGGUAGGAAGUCAUUUUUGUUAAAGUAUACAAAUGGUAGUUGAACUGGUAAAAUAUAUUAAUUAAGGCAUUGCUUUAUACGACUCCCGAAAUGAUGAUGCAAUAUGAUGUCCUUGCAUAAGAUUAAUAAGUCUGGUGCAACUGCAUGGUGUGUUUAAACGUUAUGGUAUCUAAGUGUCUUUGAUCCGACGUUGACGAGAAAAUUUUUGAAAACUUCGAAGUGGUUACACUGUCACACACAUCGUCUUCGAUCGAUCUUCGAUAUAUCAUUUGGAAAUUUCGAUAGUAGCUAUCCAAAUUUUAAUGCGCAUAAAAGUAAGUGUAUAAUGCAAAUUUGCUCCUAAACCUCUUAUACGAUUCGUAUUUACGUUUAACACUAUUUAUUAUUAUAUGGCUUUUCAAAAUUCUCUAUUCUGAUUGGUUGACAAGCGGUCCGUAAAAACCCAUAUCCGGACCGUGGUCCGUAUUUUCCGUAUCUGGACCGGUGUCCCGGAUGUCGUUUAUCUGGCGGGAAAUUUUUGCUUUGCAAACAGAAAAAAAUUUUGCUUUUUAAAUUUCCAAUUGUGCUUUACAGAUAAAAAUUUCAAACAACCAAAUUGUUUUUGAUUGAGUAUAUUGUUACCCAGUGAAACUGACGAUAGCCGAUUUAAUUCGCGCGAAAACCAUACGCUCACAGACUCAGUUUAGCCAUAUAAUAAACCGAUUAUUGACCUCACUUGUUCAGUCUGUACUGUGAAAUAUCAGACCUCUGUUUUUUGCAUAGACCUCGCUCCUUCGUCGCUCGGUCCAUACUAAAAAACCUCGGUCUGAUAUUUCACAGUACAGACCUCACGCUCGGUCAAUAAGCCGUUAAUACGUCAUGUAGGAACCUUUAUCAAACUCUACUUGGUAUGUGAAAAUAUCACUGACCAAAAUUAUUUUUAUUUUUGACACUAGUUUUAACCUGUCCGCCUAGAGUCUAGUGGCCAAAAGCUUGUAUAGAUUCUCCACUCAAUUAAAACCAUCAGACAUAUCUUUCCUUACACCUCGUAAUUAUUAUUAUCUUCUUAUUAACCGAGCGCGAGAUCUUUACAGAGAAAUGUCGGAC